rnacentral:lncRNA from 1 species
GCCUUCGUUGCCUCACGCCGUCCUCUUCUUUAACCUUAAGCCUCCGCUUCUUUCUUCUUUUUUAAGCUUACUAUGUAUCCCAGAUAGGGAUCAACUAUUGAUAAGACCGUUUUAGAUAUGUAUCAGCAUUUCAUCUUCUUAUUCUUCUUCUUUCUUUAGUUCUUCAUCAUCUCUCUCAAGUCCUCAACGAUUCGCAUUCAAGCACAUAAUGGAUUUGCUCACAGUUUUUUAUUUUUUUCUUUCAGGGACUAAAGCAGAAGGUGGACAGUGUCGCACAUUCGAGCAAAAAAUGGCACAAUUUGUUAAUUUAUUUUCUAUUUGUUCAAGUAUUUGUCUGACGUUUUAAGCUUCUUAUUAAUGUUCACUAUUUUUAAAAAUGCAUAUUUGACAAAGUUAUUCUUGCAGUGUAUAUCCUCAAUUACUUUUCAUUUUUUCCAAAGGUUUGCCGGAUAACAUGUAGUUUAGAUUAUAUGGACAUGUUCUAUUGAAUAGAACAAAAGGAGAUUGAGUGAGAGUUGUGCAGACAUAUCAAAUGCAAAAGUGAUUUUGGAUUUUGAAGCUCUUGCUUUGAUGCCUUAGUGGUUAAUUUUAGUUGGGAAAGCUUUUUUUUUUGUUUUUUUAAUAGUUUUGUUCUAUUUGUUUUCAUUUCUUUACAGACAUUGAAAUUGUUACUGCAUAUUGAAUUCUUUACUAUUCUAAUGGGCACAUAGGAUUUCAUUGCUCUACUAUUUUUCUUACCAGUAUAGAAUUAUAGUAGUACACAACCUUUUUUAGAAGGUGCAGUCAAAAGUUCUAUUUAUUGUCAAGACUGAACAACCGACUAAUUCUUUAUUGUCAUUUUCUGCACCAGAAAAUCAGAACAUCUGUAGCAGUACUAAAAUGUCUGAGUUGCAUAUGUGGAUUUAAUCUUUACUUGCAUAACCUUCAGCCAAUCUGUUUGCAUGCUGCAAAUUGCAUUAGUGAUAUUGCAAUUUAUAUGACUUCAUUAUUUUAUGAAGAAAUAUGAGCUCAUUACUUUGAAGAUAAUAGUUAUAGUUUGAUUAUAGGAAAAGAAACCAUCUGGAAUCAAUUAAUUUCCUUAGACCCAAUAUCUCAUUCUUGAUUACAAACUUGAUGUAGCAAUUUAAUGAUUCAUUAUUUGUCUCCUUGUCCUAAUUAAACUAGCUUUUUUCUUAUAAAAAGAAGGGUUUAAACUGUAAUGACCUACUUAUUUGAAUUCUCAGUAUAAUUGAGAAUAAUUUGCACAAACUCUUGUUAGAGCAGUGGCCCACGUGGAGUAAAUAGAUUUUACAAUUGGGUUAAAAAUAAAGCCCC